GCCCUGGGUGGCUCAGUUGGAAAGAGCAUCUGCCAUGUAAGCAGAUCAUCCCGGGAUCGAGUCCCGGCCGGGGCA